rnacentral:rRNA from 1 species
GAUUAGCUAGUUGGCGGGGUAAAGGCCCACCAAGGCGACGAUCCGUAGCUGGUCUGAAGGAUGAUCAGCCACACUGGACUGAGACACGGUCCAGACUCCUACGGGAGGCAGCAGUGGGGAAUAUUGGACAAUGGGCGCAAGCCUGAUCCAGCCAUGCCGCGUGUGUGAAGAAGGCCUUCGGGUUGUAAAGCACUUUUGUUGGGGACGGUACCCAAAGAAUAAGCACCGCUAACUUCGUGCCAGCAGCCGCGGUAAUACGAAGUGCAAGCGUUACUCGGAAUUACUGGGCGUAAGCGUGCGUAGUGGUGGUUUAAGUCAGAUGUGAAGCCCUGGGCUCAACCUGGGAAUGCAUUUGAUACUGGAUACUAGAGUGCGGUAGAGGAGGCGGAAUCCCGGUGUAGCAUGAAAUGCGUAGAGAUCGGAAGGAACACCAGUGGAUCACAGUGAAUUCGC